AUUCAAUACGAGGCCACACAUUGAAUAUACGGCCACAAUUAAAGAGAAAACUGAGAGAGGAUAAGACGAGAGAUGCUUGAAAGCUGAGGGCUAUCUUCCUCCCUGGGGCGUGCCUCCUCUGCCACAGACAGUGCCACUCUUUCCUUGCGCCUUCGCGCCUGAGCCAUCAAGUUCAGCCUUCCCCGCCGUGCAACACUUCACCUAGAUGCUUGUCAACGAAUUCCAGUUGGUGACCUAAAGCCCUUCUCAACCAGCCAGCAGUCGCUCAGACGAUUUCCAGUGACCUCCAUGCCAUCCCCACAUCGAAGACCCUUCACUGCCGCAGCUGUCCUCUGCUAAUUCCGAGCUUGGGUUGCCAUUCACUGUUGUUCCUCCUGCCAAUUGCUGUUUGCUACAACAGAUCACGACACUUGCAACAUCGGCAAGCUCUAGGUUCGAAGGACCGCUCACAGACCUUCACGAAUUCACUUUCUCUUAUGAUCCUCAUGUAUCCAAAUUUCUUGAAGAGAUUAAUAGAGGUAGGGCCUUGAAGGGAUAAGUCCACCAUUUGGAGAGUAGCCCGCGACUUGCCUCUUGUACACGCCUCCAAGGCCUUGGUCUCAUUGGUGUUAGGUGUCCUCCGAAGGAUAACUCAAUCCAAUAGCGAACCAGCAAGCUACAUUGCUGUUACGCACUUGUUCUGGUGACCUUUGCCUUGUCGGGAUUUUUAGACGAUUUCAACGAAUCGCCGGACGCACACCAAGCCGAAAUGCUGGGUUUUCUGUUUUGCAGGUUGUUUAGAAUAUUCAAGUCAGGAUGUGUGAGUUCCAUGAACAGCCACCGCGAGCCAUCGCCGGUCAUCCUUACUGUGAUUCUCAUGAUCUGUCAUCCAUCCGAAUUUAGAAACAAUAUCCGGGCGUUAUCACAAAUUAGACUUGAGUGCAAUCAAGGGACCAAGGUCUUGGAUCAGGGUCUUGGGUCUAGGCUACCGAGCACCUAAGUCUGGGCGCCACAGACAUAGGUCAAGGUUGCGGGAUCAGGAACCGGCUGACGGGAUCUGUGUUCGGGCGACGAGUACCCGAGUCUAGGUUGCUGGAAGCCACUGAGAAAUUAGUAUUUGGGUCAGGGCGUUCUUGUUUUGUGUGGUGCUAUUUAUAUAUAAGAAAGAUAUAAUGAUAGCAAAAGGUGUUAUUUAAUUAUUCAAACAAAGAGGAAUAUAGCAAAAGAGGAGAGACAUCGAUUCAUGAAUGUAUUGCGGGAUCGGAGUAUCUUAAUGAUAUUUUUUCCCUCAGUUAUGAAUUAUAUAGCUCCACUAGAUUGUUUG